rnacentral:rRNA from 1 species
UACGGGGGGAGCAAGCGUUGUUCGGAUUUACUGGGCGUAAAGGGCGCGUAGGCGGCGCAACAAGUCACUUGUGAAAUCUCCGGGCUUAACCCGGAGCGGUCAAGUGAUACUGUCGUGCUAGAGUGCGGAAGGGGCUACUGGAAUUCUCGGUGUAGCGGUGAAAUGCGUAGAUAUCGAGAGGAACACCUGCGGCGAAAGCGGCGCACUGGACCACAACUGACGCUGAGGCGCGAAAGCUAGGGGAGCAAACAGG